CAAACGCUGGCGGCGUGCUUCAUACAUGCAAGUCGAGCGAGAAAGCUUCCUUCGGGAAGUGAGUACAGCGGCGCACGGGUGAGUAACACGUGGGUAAUCUGCCUUCGGGUUCGGGAUAACCUCGGGAAACUGGGGCUAAUACCGGAUGAGACCACGAGGUCUUCGGGCCUUGCGGAAAAAGAUGGCCUCUUCAUGAAAGCUAUCGCCUGUUGAUGAGCCCGCGGCCCAUUAGCUUGUUGGUGAGGUAACGGCUCACCAAGGCACCGAUGGGUAGCUGGUCUGAGAGGAUGAUCAGCCACACUGGAACUGAGACACGGUCCAGACUCCUACGGGAGGCAGCAGUAGGGAAUCUUGGGCAAUGGGGGAAACCCUGACCCAGCAACGCCGCGUGAGGGAUGAAGGCCUUCGGGUCGUAAACCUCUGUCGGGAGGGAAGAACCGUCCUGAGUCGAAUAGGCUCGGGGCCUGACGGUACCUCCAAAGGAGGCGCCGGCUAACUCCGUG
rnacentral:rRNA from 1 species